AACGCGAAGAACCUUACCUGGGCUUGACAUUUAGGGAAAAGCCGUAGAGAUACGGUGUCCUUCGGGUCCUAAACAGGUGGUGCAUGGCUGUCGUCAGCUCGUGUCGUGAGAUGUUGGGUUAAGUCCCGCAACGAGCGCAACCCUUGUCCGAUGUUACCAGCGGGUUAUGCCGGGGACUCGUCGGAGACUGCCGGGGUCAACUCGGAGGAAGGUGGGGAUGACGUCAAGUCAUCAUGCCCCUUACGUCCAGGGCUGCACACAUGCUACAAUGGCCGGUACAACGGGCUGCUAUCCCGCGAGGGCAAGCUAAUCUCUUAAACCUUUCCUCAGUUCGGAUUGGAGGCUGCAACUCGCCUCCAUGAAGUCGGAAUCGCUAGUAACCGCAGAUCAGCUACGCUGCGGUGAAUACGUUCCCGGGCCUUGUACACACCGACAUA
rnacentral:rRNA from 1 species